UGCAAGUCGAACGCCCCGCAAGGGGAGUGGCAGACGGGUGAGUAACGCGUGGGAAUCUACCGUACCCUACGGAAUAACGCAUGGAAACGUGUGCUAAUACCGUAUACGCCCUUAGGGGGAAAGAUUUAUCGGGGUAUGAUGAGCCCGCGUUGGAUUAGCUAGUUGGUGGGGUAAAGGCCUACCAAGGCGACGAUCCAUAGCUGGUCUGAGAGGAUGAUCAGCCACAUUGGGACUGAGACACGGCCCAAACUCCUACGGGAGGCAGCAGUGGGGAAUAUUGGACAAUGGGCGCAAGCCUGAUCCAGCCAUGCCGCGUGAGUGAUGAAGGUCUUAGGAUUGUAAAGCUCUUUCACCGAUGAAGAUAAUGACGGUAGUCGGAGAAGAAGCCCCGGCUAACUUCGUGCCAGCAGCCGCGGUAAUACGAAGGGGGCUAGCGUUGUUCGGAAUUACUGGGCGUAAAGCGCACGUAGGCGGAUAUUUAAGUCAGGGGUGAAAUCCCGCAGCUCAACUGCGGAACUGCCUUUGAUACUGGGUAUCUCGAGUAUGGAAGAGGUGAGUGGAAUUCCGAGUGUAGAGGUGAAAUUCGUAGAUAUUCGGAGGAACACCAGUGGCGAAGGCGGCUCACUGGUCCAUUACUGAC
rnacentral:rRNA from 1 species